rnacentral:rRNA from 1 species
GAUGAACGCUGGCGGCGUGCUUAACACAUGCAAGUCGAACGGACAUGUCUUUCGGGAUAUGUUAGUGGCAGACGGGUGCGUAACACGUAGGUGACCUGCCCUGGAGUGGGGAAUAACUAUCCUAACGGAUAGCUAAUACCGCAUGUACUCGGUGAUUCGGUUGAUCGAGUAAAGUCGGAAGGCGCUUCAGGAUGGGCCUGCGGCGGAUUAGGUAGUUGGUGGGGUAAGGGCCUACCAAGCCGAUGAUCCGUAGGGGGCGUGAGAGCGUGGCCCCCCACACUGGCACUGCGAUACGGGCCAGACUCCUACGGGUGGCUG